rnacentral:rRNA from 1 species
UACGGGGGGGGCAAGCGUUGUUCGGAAUUACUGGGCGUAAAGGGCGCGUAGGCGGCCAACUAAGUCAGACGUGAAAUCUCUCGGCUUAACCGGGGAACUGCGUCUGAUACUGGAUGGCUUGAGUUUGGGAGAGGGAUGCGGAAUUCCAGGUGUAGCGGUGAAAUGCGUAGAUAUCUGGAGGAACACCGGUGGCGAAGGCGGCAUCCUGGACCAACGCUGACACUGAGGAGCGAAAGCCAGGGGAGCAAACGGG